rnacentral:rRNA from 1 species
UGGGGAAUAUUGGACAAUGGGCGAAAGCCUGAUCCAGCCAUGCCGCGUGUGUGAAGAAGGUCUUCGGAUUGUAAAGCACUUUAAGUUGGGAGGAAGGGCAGUAAGUUAAUACCUUGCUGUUUUGACGUUACCGACAGAAUAAGCACCGGCUAACUCUGUGCCAGCAGCCGCGGUAAUACAGGGGGUGCGAGCGUUAAUCGGAAUUACUGGGCGUAAAGGGCGCGUAGGCGGUCGAGUAAGUCGGAUGUGAAAUCCCCGGGCUUAACCUGGGAAUUGCAUUCGAUACUGCUUGGCUAGAGUGUGGAAGAGGGAAGCGGAAUUUCCGGUGUAGAGGUGAAAUUCGUAGAUAUUAGGAAGAACACCGGUGGCGAAGGCGGCCCACUGGAUCGGUACUGACGCUGAGGUGCGAAAGCGUGGGGAGCAAACAGGAUUAGAUACCCGUGUAGUCCCUGAGCGGGCUGGCAAGGCGCAU